ACGACUGUACUUUACAGGAUUAUGUAUAUAGUACAUUCCCAGUCUUUGUUUCCCAACCAAAGACACUAAUACCAAGCUGGUAGAUGACAUGUAGUGCGCUGUCCGUAAAGGGAAGUGUGAACAGUGGCCGAUCGGUCUUUCGGGACCUUAGGACCUGUUCAGUUGAUGAACUUGCCGGUUGAUUAUUCCAACAGCCUGGCGAGGACGGUCUGCACAUUCUGACAGCU
rnacentral:snoRNA from 1 species